rnacentral:rRNA from 1 species
GAUGAACGCUGGCGGCGUGCCUAAUACAUGCAAGUCGAGCGAACGGACGAGAAGCUUGCUUCUCUGAUGUUAGCGGCGGACGGGUGAGUAACACGUGGAUAACCUACCUAUAAGACUGGGAUAACUUCGGGAAACCGGAGCUAAUACCGGAUGAUAUUUUGAACCGCAUGGUUCAAAGGUGAAAGACGGUCUUGCUGUCACUUAUAGAUGGAUCCGCGCUGCAUUAGCUAGUUGGUAAGGUAACGGCUUACCAAGGCAACGAUGCAUAGCCGACCUGAGAGGGUGAUCGGCCACACUGGAACUGAGACACGGUCCAGACUCCUACGGGAGGCAGCAGUAAGGAAUCUUCCGCAAUGGGCGAAAGCCUGACGGAGCAACGCCGCGUGAGUGAUGAAGGUCUUCGGAUCGUAAAACUCUGUUAUUAGGGAAGAACAUAUGUGUAAGUAACUGUGCACAUCUUGACGGUACCUAAUCAGAAAGCCACGGCUAACUACGUG